rnacentral:rRNA from 1 species
UUUCGCAAUGCCCGAAAGGGUGACGAAGCGACGCCGCGUGUGGGAAGAAGGCCUUCGGGUUGUAAACCACUGUCGGGAGUUAAGAAGUGUAGUGAUGUUAAUAGCAUCGCUACUUGACUAAGGCUCCGGAGGAAGCCACGGCUAACUCUGUGCCAGCAGCCGCGGUAAUACAGAGGCGGCAAGCGUUGUUCGGAUUCAUUGGGCGUAAAGGGCAAGUAGGCGGCUCGUUAAGUCGGGUGUGAAAUCCCUCUGCUCAACGGAGGAACUGCAUUCGAGACUGGCGGGCUUGAGGGGUGGAGAAGCGAGCGGAAUUCUCGGUGUAGCGGUGGAAUGCGUAGAUAUCGAGAAGAACUCCAAUGGCGAAGGCAGCUCGCUAGACACCCCCUGACGCUGAACUGCGAAAGCCAGGGGAGCAAACGGGAUUAGAUACCCCGGUAGUCCUAGCCGUAAACGAUGGGCACUAAGUAGAGGGGUUUUA